rnacentral:lncRNA from 12 species
AUGUUUUCCACCAUUUCCCCUUCACGUUUCCCCUCUUUCCCCCUCACGUUUUCCCGCCUUUUCCCCCUCACGUUUUCUGCCAUUUCCCCCUCACAUUCCCCUCUAUUUCCCCCCCACAUUUCCCUCUCUUUUCUCCUUAAAUUUCCUUCUCUUCCCCCUCACGAUUUCACUCCCUUUUCUCCCCUCACGUUUCCCACCCUUUGCCCCCUCACAUUUCUCUUUUCCCCUCACAUUUUCCGUCUUUCCCCCUCACGUUUUCCCGCCUUUUUCCCCUCACAUUCCCCCCAUUUUCCCCUCACAUUCUCCUCUCUUUCCCCCCCCAAAUUUUCCCCUCACAUUUUCCCCUUUUCCUCUCACGUUUUCCCGCCCUUUUCUCCCCUCACGUUUCUCUCUUUUCCCCUCACAUUUCCCCCCAUUUCCCCCUCACAUUUCUCCCCCCGUUUUCCCCUCACAUUUCUCCCCCCGUUUUCCCCUCACAUUUCUCCCACUUUUCUCCUCACAUUUCCCCCCAUUUUCCCCUCACAUUUGUCUCUCUUCUCCCCUCACAUUUCUCUCUUUUCCCCUCACAUUUCUCCCCCCGUUUUCCCCUCACAUUUCCCAUUUUCCCCUCACAUUUGUCUCUCUUCUCCCCUCACAUUUCCCCCCGUUUUCCCCUCACAUUCCCUCCCUUUUCCCUCACAGUUCUCUCUUUUCCCCUCACAUUCCCCUCCAUUUCCCCUCACAUUCCCGUCUCUUUUUCACAUUCCCCUCUUUUCCCCUCACAUUCCCUCCCUUUCCUCAAAUUUUCCCCUCACAUUUUCCCCUUUUCCUCUCACGUUUUCCCGCCCUUUUCUCCCCUCACGUUUCUCUCUUUUCCCCUCACAUUUCCCCCCAUUUCCCCCUCACAUUUCUCCCCCCGUUUUCCCCUCACAUUUCUCCCCCCGUUUUCCCCUCACAUUUCUCCCACUUUUCUCCUCACAUUUCCCCCCAUUUUCCCCUCACAUUUGUCUCUCUUCUCCCCUCACAUUUCUCUCUUUUCCCCUCACAUUUCUCCCCCCGUUUUCCCCUCACAUUUCCCAUUUUCCCCUCACAUUUGUCUCUCUUUUCCCCUCACAUCCUCUUCUCUUUUCCCCUCACAUUCCCUCCCUUUUCCCCUCACAUUCCCCUCUCUUUUCCCCUCACAUUUCCCCCUUUUCCCCUCACAUUCCCUCCCUUUUCCCUCUCAUUUCUCUCUUUUCUUUCCCCUCAGGCCUCCGGCGUUUUGGGGCUCCGCAGAGGGGCAGUGAUGAGCCGGGGGUGCAGCGACACUUGGCAGCGUUUAUUUGGGGAGGGGGCAAGGCACUUUAACGAGGCUCCGGGGUCAUCACGAGCAGUUUUGGGGGGUCAGGAACGAGCCAGCGACACUCAGCAGCGUUUAUUGGGGAGGGGGCGGGAAAUCAAAGGCACUUGAAGGGGUUUUGGGGAAUUUUCUGGGAAUCAAUGAUGAUGACCCCAGACCCCCCAGUGCCCACCCUGGAUGAAGGCCAGGAGGAUGAUGAUGACCCCAGACCCCCCAGUGCCCACCCUGGAUGAAGGCCAGGAGGAUGAUGAUGACCCCAGACCCCCCAGUGCCCACCCUGGAUGAAGGCCAGGAGGAUGAUGAUGACCCCAGACCCCCCAGUGCCCACCCUGGAUGAAGGCCAGGAGGAUGAUGAUGACCCCAGACCCCCCAGUGCCCACCCUGGAUGAAGGCCAGGAGGAUGAUGAUGACCCCAGACCCCCCAGUGCCCACCCUGGAUGAAGGCCAGGAGGAUGAUGAUGACCCCAGACCCCCCAGUGCCCACCCUGGAUGAAGGCCAGGAGGAUGAUGAUGACCCCAGACCCCCCAGUGCCCACCCUGGAUGAAGGCCAGGAGGAUGAUGAUGACCCCAGACCCCCCAGUGCCCACCCUGGAUGAAGGCCAGGAGGAUGAUGAUGACCCCAGACCCCCCAGUGCCCACCCUGGAUGAAGGCCAGGAGGAUGAUGAUGACCCCAGACCCCCCAGUGCCCACCCUGGAUGAAGGCCAGGAGGAUGAUGAUGACCCCAGACCCCCCAGUGCCCACCCUGGAUGAAGGCCAGGAGGAUGAUGAUGACCCCAGACCCCCCAGUGCCCACCCUGGAUGAAGGCCAGGAGGAUGAUGAUGACCCCAGACCCCCCAGUGCCCACCCUGGAUGAAGGCCAGGAGGAUGAUGAUGACCCCAGACCCCCCAGUGCCCACCCUGGAUGAAGGCCAGGAGGAUGAUGAUGACCCCAGACCCCCCAGUGCCCACCCUGGAUGAAGGCCAGGAGGAUGAUGAUGACCCCAGACCCCCCAGUGCCCACCCUGGAUGAAGGCCAGGAGGAUGAUGAUGACCCCAGACCCCCCAGUGCCCACCCUGGAUGAAGGCCAGGAGGAUGA